rnacentral:lncRNA from 1 species
GAAUACUCAUCCUUCACAAAAUGUCCCAUUUCAACUGAAUAGUGAAUCCUAGUUAGAUGUGGUGAUGCACUUUUGUUAAUUAUAGAAGAAGCCACCAUGCUUAUUUAUUGAUUAACACCCUUUCAUAUCAAAGGUAGAGACAGGAAACCUGGGGAUCCAGAAAAUUCUAGACAUAUCAACUAAUUUAUAGAAAGACAUAUUUUGGAUGUUAUGGGAGGCAGUGAUUUUGUUUGUUUGUUUGCUAGCUUGCUUGCUUGUUGGUUUUUCAAGACAGGGUUUCUCUGUGUAGCUCUGGCUGUCCUGAAAUUUACUCUGUAGACCAGGCUGGCCUCAAAUUCACAGAGAUCAGCCUUCCUGUUGGGAUUAAAGGUAUGCACCACCACUGCCUGCCAGUAACCUACUUGCUAUCUAUAAAGCCAUGAAAACAUCCCCCAUGCGUUUCUGAAGAUCAGGUGUUGCCUGGUCCUCACUUAGCUUCAUUCGUACAACAGGCUGUGUGGAAUCCUUUUAUUUUCUCUCUUAUUAUGUUUCUAACUCCAUCUCCUUGUUCUUCAAGAUGUGGAACUCAGCACAUUCAGAUUCUCCAGAUUCUUCAAACCUUGCUCUCUCUGAAGAUGAAACCCUAGUGAUUCUUUCAUUGUUCUUUUAAAAGCAUUUCUAAAGAGUUUUCUUAAAGAAAAUAAAUGACUGCCUAGAGGUCCCCAAAGUCAACUUACAUGCAUUUAAUCUAUCUUAAGCAAUGAAAACCUUACACACAGGCUAGAUAUCUCGAUAAGACAAUGGAACAUAAAUGAUAUUCUGUAGAAUGCUUUAACCACUAUAUCCCCAGCAAUUCUAGCUGCCUCACCAUCCAGUUACUACGUUCUGAUUAGAUAGAUGAUAGAUAGAUAGAUAGAUAGAUAGAUAGAUAGAUAGAUAGAUAGAUAGAUACUGUUUGGCCCAAUUUGAGUUGAAUUUGCUAACCAGCCUUUCCUUUUCUUUCUUCUUCUUCCUCUCCUCCUCCUCUUCUACCUCUUUGUUCUCCUCUUUCUCCUCCUCUUCAUCCUUUUUCUUGGCUAAAGAAAAGUGCUACUGUGUCAGACUAAACCAUCUUUUCUUAAGAUAGGAUAGCAAUAUCUAGAGACAUUAUGGAAAUAGUCUAGUCCCUGACAUAAAAUUUACAUGAAAUAUGUUCAUACAAAUAUUAUAACUAUGUAAUCUACAGUUGCUGCUAUAGGUUUCUGAACAAUGCAUGUUCUAAACAACAAUCUCUGAACCAAAUAUGCUCCACAGCUGUAAAAAAAAAUAUUCUUUUCAUUAAAAUAAAAAAUUAAUAUCACUAAAAUUCAAAACCUAUUUUUACUUCAAGUAGCUUCAUCAUUAUAUUGCACAAUACAUCCAAUCAAAUUAAUGGGUGAUUAUAACAUUAAAAAGUAUUUCAUUAUUUAUCAAAUUAUAUAUCUCCAGAUUUUUCACUGCAAUUAAUUUCCAAUAGUUUCAAAAUUGUCUUCUCCAUAAUUUAAAUAUUAUAUUAUGGAAUAUUCAUGUUGAAUUCAUUUGUAAACAUCUAUAAUUUAUGAAAUAUAAUUUAGUUACAUUUUGGUAUUACAGAAAAGCUUGCUAUAAUAAAGUAAUUUCAAUUUUAAUAUAAAAUUUUGGAAUUUUUCUCAUUUUGAUGAAUGUGUAUGUAUAUAAUAUGCUUAUGGGCAAGACAGACAUGCUGCAAACAUGAAUGUGCAAAUCAGAAAGCAGAUUGUAGCAUCUAUAAUCUUCUGCCCUUGUGUAGAUACUGUAGAUUGAACUCUGGUGUCCAACAAGUUCUUAUAUUGGCUGAGUUAACUUGAAGACCCAUAAUGCACUAUUUUUAAAGACAGAGAUCAUCUUACUUAAAUUAUUACCCUUGUUGAAAAUGACAUGAAGUCUUUGAGUCUAAGAAGUGUCAGCUGCACCCUCCUUAUGCCAAAUGCAGAAUGAUUACCUGUGAACUCAUCAAU